UUUUGUAGAGGUAGACAAGUUUACAAGAUACAUUUAUUAUUUUAAGGAAAAAACAUUUUAAAAACAAUAUAUAACUAUAUAUAACUAACUGUACAUUAUAUGUAUAUAUUUUCAUUUUAGUAAUAAUUACAAGUUUAUUACAGGCCAAUCCAUCUAUAGACAAUACAUCUUACUGGCAUUAGCAAGGGGUCACACCUCGGGUUGCAAAAUUCAGUUAACCAGGGAAUUUAUUGAAAGUUUUCCCGAAAUCCCAGUUGUAGGACCCCGAUCACAGACACUGAGCAGUACAUCAGGUUUCAAUUGUCACAGCGAGUCUCUUAAAAUUGAGAGUGAAUAUUUUGUAAUUAUUUGUCAUAAUGCACAGACACCAGCCCAAGAACCACCAUCCAGUCAUGUGAAAUGUUUUAUCCUCAGGCCAUAGAAGGAAGCUUGGUGUAUAUCCUGUCAAUUUACUUUGCAUGACCAGGGAUGGACAGCUUUGGUCUAGGGACCAAGGCCCCGUUUGAAAUGAAAUAUUUUCCUUAAAGUAAUCACUGAUAAACUAACUGAUUAGCGACACUGCAUCAGCAAGGAUUAUAUCACAUAGCCUUCACCUAUCAAGUCUUGUCAGGGAUUACUAAGAAGGAGUAAAGGUUAAAUAAAAAAAUUAAGGAAAGGCUGCAUCUGAAAGUAUUUGAUCAGGGCCCAAAAUUAGCAGACAAGAGAACACAGAGGCCUUGAAUUACUCAGACAUGACUAAUCCAUAUCAAGCGGCAGGGGUACUGUGGACCAAACAGCCCCAAGCAGUCAAACAUGGCAUAACUGAUUGAUACAUGCUCAUGAGAUUAAAUUCCAGACAUAUUCAAUUUGUUCCAGUCACAAAUACAUAAGAAUCAUGUUUUUGAGGUUAACAAAAACACCUGUUCAACAUAGACAUACUAGGUACAGUUGAAGUCGGAAGUUUACGUACACCUUAGCCAAAUACAUUUAAACUCAGAUGUUCACAAUUCCUGACAUUGAAUCCUAGUAAAAAUUCCCUGGUUUUAGGUCAGUUAGGAUCACCACUUUAUUUUAAGAAUGUGAAAUGUCAUAAAAAUAGUAGAGAGAAUUAUUUAUUUCAGCUUUUAUUUCUUUCAUCACAUUCCCAAUGGGUCAGAAGUUUACAUACUCAAUUAGUAUUUGGUAGCAUUGCCUUUAAAUUUGGGAACUUGGGUCAAAACGUUUUGGGUAGCCUUCCACAAGCUUCCCACAAUAAGUUGGGUGAAUUUUGGCCCACUCCUCCUGACAGAGCUGCCACAACUUUUUUUGCCACAACUUUGGAAGUAUGCUUGGGGUCAUUGUCCACUUGGCAGGCCCAUUUGUUGCUUCAAUAUAUCCACAUAAUUUUCCAUUCUCAUGAUGCCAUCUAUUUUGUGAAGUGCACCUGUCCCUCCUGCAGCAAAGCACACCCACAACAUGAUGCUGCCACCCCAUGCUUCACGGUUGGGAUGGUGUUCUUCGGCUUGCAAGCAUCCCAAACCUCCCCUUUUAGGACUUGUUCUACUGUGGAUAUAGAUACAUUUGUACCGGUUUCCUCCAGCAUCUUCACAUGGUCCUUUGCUUCUGUUCUGGGAUUGAUUUGCACUUUUCCCACCUUCCUGAGCGGUAUGAUGGCUGCGUGGUCCAAUAGUGUUUAUAAUUGCAUAGUAUUGUUUGUACAGAUGAACGUGGUACUCCCAAGGAUGAACCAGACUUGUGGAGGUCUACAUUUUUUAUUUAUGAGGUCUUGGCUGAUUUCUUUUGAUUUUCCCAUGCUGUCAAGAAAAGAGGCAUUGAGUUUGAAGGUAGGACUUGAAAUACAUCCAAAGGUACACUUCCACUUGACUCAAAUUAUGUCAAGUAGCCUAUCAGAAGCUUCUAAAGCCAUGACAUUAUUUUCUGGAAUUUUCAAAGCUGUUUAAAGGUACAGUCAACUUAAUGUAUGUAAACUUCUGACCCACUGGAAUUAUGAUACAGUGAAUUAUAAGUGAAAUAAUAUGUCUGUAAACAAUUGUUGGAAAACUAUAGUUUGUUAACAAGAAAUUUGUGGAGUGGUUGAAAAACUAAUUUUAAUGACCCCAACCUAAGUGUAUGUAAACUUCCGACUUCAACUGUAUAGGCUACAUCCCAUUGAGAAAUCCAUUUCUGAAAUGUAAGCUAUGAUUUGAGUUGGGGGGCACAGCCUCAUCUGUGAUUAGCUAAAUCCUCAAAAUGGUAAUCCAUCAUUUACUGCGUUUAUGUUGUCUAAGAUUAUAACUGUCUCCUAUGGAAAUGAUCUGCUUGUCAUGUGGUAAAUAACACCAGCAAGACAAGAACAUCUUGUUCCUUUCAACAGCAACAUUUAUCUAAGAGAUAGAAUACAAUCGAGUGUUGAUUUUCUGCAGCUGCAUAACACUUCAGAAUCUACUCACAAUUAUAUCAAUUCAAACGGACUACAACAGAGGUAUGUAAAAAGGCAGUUUACACAUGUGGAACUAGUGACUAUUUGCUGAAAACAACCAGCAUUCUGGGUCUUGGUGAGACUGAGGAUUCCGUGACAACAUACAUGAAACUUGAUCAAGCAACAGUCUCAUGUUCACUCUGUGGCAACUUCAUAAUCUAGCAUCAUCAUCAUGCACCCUUUUUGCAAAGAAAAACAGGCAAAUGCACUAUACACCAUGAUGGCUACUGUUCAACAGUCCCAUCUAUCCUAUUGUGGAAUACCAGUGUAAAAGGACUCAAUGAGAUUUAUAUUUAUUUCAGUGUUGAUCUAACUUUACUGGUUUAUUCAAGGAGUAAUCAUCUCCAUGGGAUUGCUAAUAAAAUUCAUUUGUUCACAGAUAUUUCAUACACACCAAUACAAACUUAACACCACAGUAUGCUCAUCAGCUUUGCUUUGUUUUGUUUUUCCUGUAGUGGACGGUUCCUUCUGAUAUACCUGGAUGGCAGAGGAGGCUGGUGGGAGGAGCUAUAGGAGGACGGGCUCAUGGCUGGAAUGGAAUAAAUAGAACGGAGUCAAACAUGUGGUUUUGUAUGGGUUUCAUACCAUUCCAUUAAUUCUAUUCCAGUCUUUACAAUGAGCCCGUCCUCCUAUAGCUCCUCCCACCAGCCUCUGGUGAAUGGAGAUUUGUGGAGUCGCAGGUUUAGGCUUCUUAUAUAAGCCCGAAAGGGCAAAGUCACAGGUGUUGUACUUUAAGGCAUUACAGGGAAGGACAGAGGUUCCAAUACGGAAGGGGAUCUACAUUUGCAUGAGGGUGUGGCUCCCUCUGAAAUAGUUCUAGAACUAGAACUGUUCUAGGACAGCUUUGAUAGAGAACAAAGACAUCUGAAAUGUGCAUCUCUGCAUGCCAUUUGUGCAUACUAGAAUGUAUACACUAUACACAUGCACCGAAUACACACUCCCCCAUAAACAUUCAACUUGUCCCCCCUCCCCCCCUAUUUUGUUCCCAUGGCUAUGCAGGUACAGGCUUCUCAGGAUAAACGGAGUGUAAUCCAACAGCUGUGCAACAAAGCUCGUUUUCAUCCGUUUUUAAAAUCCUCUAUUAAUCCCUCGGCUUGCGUCCUGCACCGCCGCUCUGCUCAGCAGGUGAUCCCUUCCUUUAAACACCAGAAAUUAUUUUGGCUAUUUUCAGUCUCUGAGGCUUUUUUCUCCUCAUUCUCUGUGAACAUAGAUGGCAACAGAGAUUAUAUAAUUGGAGAGAGCGCCGUAUCAGCUGAUCUGGUCAGCCAACCCCUUGUCAGAAUCGGGUGAUCUUCACUCCAGAGUCGCCGACAAUGAGCCGGGACAUAGAGGGAUGGACCUGAGGGAGACAAACCGAUAGAGUGAUUAGUAUAAUACUUUAGAGAAGGGAACUAAAGAUAGGUAUUGUAAGUGUAUAAUGUGGUUAUUAAUAUACCAGAGAAAAG
ensembl:lncRNA